rnacentral:rRNA from 1 species
GUAGGGUGGCAAGCGUUGUCCGGAAUUAUUGGGGCGUUAAAGCGCGCGCAGGCGGUCCUUUAAGUCUGAUGUGAAAGCCCACGGCUCAACCGUGGAGGGUCAUUGGAAACUGGGGGACUUGAGUACAGAAGAGGAAAGCGGAAUUCCAAGUGUAGCGGUGAAAUGCGUAGAGAUUUGGAGGAACACCAGUGGCGAAGGCGGCUUUCUGGUCUGUAACUGACGCUGAGGCGCGAAAACGUGGGGAGCAAACAGGAUUAGAUACCCUGGUAGUCCACGCCGUAAACGAUGAGUGCUAAGUGUUAGGGGGUUUCCGCCCCUUAGUGCUGCAGCUAACGCAUUAAGCACUCCGCCUGGGGAGUACGGCCGCAAAGGCUG